AAUUACUGAAGAAUUGUCUCCUGGCCAGAAUGCCACAUUGCAACUGAUACAGCUCAACAAUGACUCUAGGAUUAUCUGAAGCAGAAAAACAUCAGUGGGAAACUGCUCUGAGUGAGAACAGAUAAAAUGGAAGGAGCAUGUAUCAAAAAUUAAUGAAAACAAGUAGUCUACAGCAUUUGAAAAGAUGGUGUUUAUUUUUGUGAAGUUUUUAAUUUGAG